rnacentral:rRNA from 1 species
AUUUGACUUGCUUAUUGCACCACAUGUGUUUUUCUUUGAAACAAACUUGCUUUGGCGGUGGGCCCAGCCUGCCGCCAGAGGUCUAAACUUACAACCAAUUUUUUAUCAACUUGUCACACCAGAUUAUUACUAAUAGUCAAAACUUUCAACAACGGAUCUCUUGGUUCUCGCAUCGAUGAAGAACGCAGCGAAAUGCGAUACGUAAUAUGAAUUGCAGAUAUUCGUGAAUCAUCGAAUCUUUGAACGCACAUUGCGCCCUCUGGUAUUCCGGAGGGCAUGCCUGUUUGAGCGUCGUUUCUCCCUCAAACCGCUGGGUUUGGUGUUGAGCAAUACGACUUGGGUUUGCUUGAAAGACGGUAGUGGUAAGGCGGGAUCGCUUUGACAAUGGCUUAGGUCUAACCAAAAACAUUGCUUGCGGCGGUAACGUCUACCACGUAUAUCUUCAAACUUUGACCUCAAAUCAGGUAGGACUACCCGCUGAACUUAAGCAUAUCAAAAGCCGGGAGGAA